UUUUAUAUAAAAAGUUUUUUGUUUUAUUACAUUUAUAAUAAUAAUAAAACAACAUUUAUCACCAUUAUUAUAAUUCACAGUAUUAAUCGACCAGGUCGUUCCCAGGAAAGAGGGGGCUUUCCAAUAAGGAUUUCUCCCUAGUGGCGCGCAAUUAGGUGACCAAACCUCUGCUUGACAGAACUUCUAGACAUCGUCAAUAUUGCAAAUAAUAAUAUUAAUAACUCUGUCAUUUCAAUUAUUGAUUUAAU
rnacentral:lncRNA from 1 species